UUUGGUCUCUGCCAGAUCCAUGCCUUUGUGGAUUACCUGCGAAGCAAGUUGAAUCCACAACAAUUUGAAGUUCUUUUCCGGAGCGUCAUCUCUCUGGUAGGCUUUGUCCUUCUCACCGUGGGAGCUCUCCUCAUGCUGACAGGAAAAAUAUCUCCCUGGACGGGGCGUUUCUACUCACUGCUGGAUCCUUCUUAUGCUAAGAACAACAUCCCCAUCAUUGCUUCUGUGUCUGAGCAUCAGCCCACAACCUGGUCCUCAUACUAUUUUGACCUGCAGCUCCUCGUCUUCAUGUUUCCAGAGGACGGCUAAGCAAAUUUUCUCAUGU
rnacentral:sRNA from 1 species